UACGGAGAGUGCAAGCAUUAAUCGGAAUUAUUGGGCGUAAAGGGCGCGUAGGCGGGAAUAAAAGUCAGAUGUGAAAUUCCGAAGCUCAACUUCGGAGCUGCAUUUGAAACUGCAUACCUAGAGGGUUGACGGAGAAAACGGAAUUCCACGUGUAGCGGUGAAAUGCGUAGAUAUGUGGAAGAACACCAGUGGCGAAAGCGGUUUUCUAGUUAAUACCUGACGCUGAGGCGCGAGAGCAAGGGGAGCAAACAGG
rnacentral:rRNA from 1 species